rnacentral:rRNA from 1 species
AUUGAACGCUGGCGGCAGGCCUAACACAUGCAAGUCGAACGGUAACAGGAAGAAGCUUGCUUCUUUGCUGACGAGUGGCGGACGGGUGAGUAAUGUCUGGGAAACUGCCUGAUGGAGGGGGAUAACUACUGGAAACGGUAGCUAAUACCGCAUAACGUCGCAAGACCAAAGAGGGGGACCUUCGGGCCUCUUGCCAUCGGAUGUGCCCAGAUGGGAUUAGCUAGUAGGUGGGGUAACGGCUCACCUAGGCAACGAUCCCUAGCUGGUCUGAGAGGAUGACCAGCCACACUGGAACUGAGACACGGUCCAGACUCCUACGGGAGGCAGCAGUGGGGAAUAUUGCACAAUGGGCGCAAGCCUGAUGCAGCCAUGCCGCGUGUAUGAAGAAGGCCUUCGGGUUGUAAAGUACUUUCAGCGGGGAGGAAGGGAGUAAAGUUAAUACCUUUACUCAUUGACGUUACCCGCAGAAGAAGCACCGGCUAACUCCGUG